ACUUCUGUUGACAAAUUCAUUACGCUGCCUUUAACUUUGUGACAGUCGUGGUGGGCCUGUGGCGUUCGUCACACCCAGGGAGUGACGAUCAUGACGGGGCGUGUGACGGUCGUUGCCUGCACAAGAUUUAUACUUUCUAGUUUUUCUAGUUUUUAUGUUGUUUCUCUUCUGUUUCUUCUUCUUUUCCUUCCUUUUCUAUACUUUGCUCAUUUAAGCAUGUGAAUUAAAAUACCUG
rnacentral:lncRNA from 1 species